CUCAGGACUCUGUUCUCAUUCCAACUCACUCCAGGCCUGUAUCUGUGGCUGGUCACCCAACAGCUAUGCACACACAGGUACACAUUGGUCCCGUGGGUUUGGGGAACCAAGGCCAGAACCAAGUGAGGCUCAGACCCAGCUCCAAGGGGCUCACUGCUCAGAAAGGCGACUGGACAUUCACAGGCCCUUGUCAGUCACCGAGAGAUGGAGAAUGUACAGGUGGCCAACAGGAUCUCAACAUGGAAACUCCCCAAAUAAAAUCUUAAUAUGGGAAUGUUCCAACUUUAUUUUGCUGGCUGGUAACCUGGUCCCUGACCAGAAAGUGACAGAGUCAUCAUAUAAUUUAUUAUCCAAACUGGGACAUUCAGAGUAAAGGGAAUAGUCAUCAUAAUUCCCCUGGAAAAAAACAGGUGUGGGCCAAGGCUGUCUUCGGCAAGCCAGCAUAAAUGACGUGACCCUGUGAACAAAAAAGACCUCCCGGCCUCACC